rnacentral:rRNA from 1 species
GAUUAACGCUGGCGGCGUGCCUAACACAUGCAAGUCGAGCGGCAGCGAGUUUUACACUGAAUUCUGGAAGCUUCUAGUUGAAAGAGAAGAUUUAUUCAAGAAUUUUGUGUAAAAUGUCGGCGAGCGGCGGACGGCUGAGUAACGCGUGGGAACGUACCCCAAAGUGAGGGAUAACGCAUCGAAAGGUGUGCUAAUACCGCAUAUGGUCUUCGGAUUAAAGCCUUCGGGCGCUUUGGGAACGGCCUGCGUAAGAUUAGAUAGUUGGUGGGGUAAUGGCCUACCAAGUCGACGAUCUUUAACUGGUUUGAGAGGAUGAUCAGUCAGACUGGAACUGGGACACGGUCCAGACUCCUACGGGAGGCAGCAGUGAGGAAUCUUCCACAAUGGGCGAAAGCCUGAUGGAGCAACGCCGCGUGCAGGAUGAAGGCCUUCGGGUUGUAAACUGCUUUUAUAAGUGAGGAUUAUGACAGUAACUUAUGAAUAAGGAUCGGCUAACUACGU